UUAAAGUAGUAAUAGUUAUGUUCUUGAAACUUAAAAAAUUUGGCGGUAUUUUAGUCUAUUCAGAGGAACCUGUCCUAUAAUCGAUAAUCCACGUUGGACCUCACUUAAGUUUGUAAAUCAGUUUGUAUACCGUCGUUAUAAGAAUAUUUUAUUAGAAUAAUAAUUUUCUAGAAUUUUUAUAAAAAUUUAUAUCAGAUCAAGGUGCAGCUUAUAUUUAAGAAGAGAUGGGUUACAAUAAAUUUAUUUAAACGGAUUAAUUUUUGAAAUAAAAUUAUGAAGGUGGAUUUGAAUGUAAAAUUAUAAAGAUAAAUAAUUUGAUUUUAGCU
rnacentral:rRNA from 1 species